GACGAACGCUGGCGGCGUGCCUAACACAUGCAAGUCACGGGGGCCCGCGAGGGCAACCGGCGAACGGGUGCGUAACACGUGAGCGACCUGCCUUUCCGCGGGGGAUAGCCGGCCCAACGGCCGGGUAAUACCGCAUACGCUGCUUCGGGGGCAUCCCUGAAGUAGGAAACCUCCGGGGCGGAGAGAGGGGCUCGCGACCUAUCAGCUAGUUGGCGAGGUAACGGCUCACCAAGGCGGCGACGGGGUAGCUGGCUGAGAGGAUGGCCAGCCACAUUGGGACUGAGAUACGGCCCAGACUCCUACGGGAGGCAGCAGUGGGGAAUAUUGCGCAAUGGCCUAACGGCUGACGCAGCGACGCCGCGUGUGGGAGGACGCCCCUCGGGU
rnacentral:rRNA from 1 species